AUCAAAUCAACAUAUGGUACAAGUACUAAGGUACAUUGGAAAAGAACGUGACGAGUGUGUUCACGAUGCAAAAUUACUUUUUCAAUGUAUAUUUAUAUGUGCAUGACAUUUAUAUAUAUUCAUAGAUUCUCGAACUCGACCGAACUCAAGUGAAAGAAUCACCCACUGAAUUUCCGCGCCAAAACCAGCAUAAAAAAGCUAGCGCAACAAGCAAUCAUCAAUCCUUCUCUGCAUUGUGCUCUAAUUUUGUAUAUAAUUCACGCAGUCUCUCUUGUAUCUUCAUUUGUUUUGAUUUUUCUUUGCAAUAAAAUUUCAUCAUCGUUUGUCUUCUUCAAUCUGUGUGCUUGUAAAUCAUUAUUUUCAACAAGUGCAACAAUUUCAAUUCAUCAUCGACAACAACUACUGGAUCAAAGUCGUUAUAACAAUUUUAUUGGUUAUUGGUGGGUAGUGACCGAGCAAUUCAUCAUAUAAAUAAACAAGUUUCAAACAUUGUGAAAAUAUUUCAAUCGUUGCAAUUCUGUAAUAAGUGACCAAAUCGGGAAAGUCUAUCAUUAUCUAUAAUCUUGGUACCAUUUUAACAAUGGCCAAACGAUCAAAUAAGAAUGUGUCGCAUGACAUAAGUAGUAGUGAAGACGAAUUUCAAGUAGAUGUUUAUUCAGACCAGUUGGAAAAACUAAAUAUUUCCGGAAA